rnacentral:ncRNA from 2 species
UAUUCAUCAUGAGUAGUGGAGGGAACGGGCCCUGUGAAGCUACAGCAACCUUCUUGUACGGAAAAGGUGCUAAAUCCCUCAGUCACUUGACUGGAAGAUGAGCU